CGGGCCUGGUUUUCGGAUCAGGUCAGUGGCGUAAGGGUGAGUAAGGCGACGGCAACCAACCCCAUGGUUGGGCAUAGCCGCGGGAAACUGCGGGUAAUUCCCAGCGAUGUUCGUGCCGGGCAUCCGGUGCGAACCAAAGUUUCGGCGCCGUGGGACGGGCCGUCGUGGUAUUAGGUCGUUGGCGGGGUAAUGGCCCACCAAGCCUUUGAUGCCUACCGGGCGUGCGAGCGUGGCCCGGCACACUGGGACUGAGAUACUGCCCAGACUCCUACGGGAGGCUGCAGUCGAGAAUCUUCGGCAAUGGGCGCAAGCCUGACCGAGCGACGCCGCGUGGAGGAUGAAGGCCUUCGGGUUGUAAACUCCUGUCGAGGGGGAGGAAGGCGCAAGCUUGACCUAUCCCUGGAGGAAGCACGGGCUAAGUUCGUGCCAGCAGCCGCGGUAAUACGAACCGUGCUAACGUUAUUCGGAAUCACUGGGCUUAAAGCGCGUGUAGGCGGAUGGGGACGUCGGUUGCUGAAAGCCCCCGGCUCA
rnacentral:rRNA from 1 species